rnacentral:rRNA from 1 species
UACGAGGGGGGCAAGCGUUGUUCGGAAUUAUUGGGCGUAAAGGGCGCGUAGGCGGUGCGGUAAGUCUUCUGUGAAACCUCUGGGCUUAACUCAGAGCCUGCAGGGGAAACUGCCGUGCUUGAGUGUGGGAGAGGUGAGUGGAAUUCCCGGUGUAGCGGUGAAAUGCGUAGAUAUCGUAAGGAAGACCAGUGGCGAAGGCGGGUCUCUGGGCCGGUACUGACGCUGAGGAGCGAAAGCGUGGGGAGCGAACAGG